rnacentral:lncRNA from 1 species
CACAUGUCACUUCAUUAGGACUGCAGAAUGUUAGCUUGCAGCUCACUUCGGAAGGAAAAACAAAACAAAAACACUUUUGUUAUGAAAAUAACAAACUGCAUUUCGACUGCUAUAUUGUCAAGGAUUAGGUAUUGUAUUUUCUUACCUUGAAAGCAUUAGGAAUUGUAGCCCCUAUCUUGUCAAGAAUGAUACCUCCUGAUAGAGUUCCAAGGAUUCCACACACUAGUUAUUCCACCAAACAUAAGAUCUGCACUCACCUGAUGAAAAAAAUUCAAUGAGAAAGGUUACACAGUGAACAGAGAAUGUACUCAGUUGUGAUAUUGUGAAAUAGAGUAUUAAUCUAGAUCAGUGCAAAACUGGACUUAAAUUGUGGUCCAUCGAGAUUGAACAGUCUUUUUUAAAUAAGAAAUGUACAAUGGUCACACAUCUAAUAUAUGAUUAUAUGUAAUAUGCCAAGAUAUUGCCACAUGUGAGUGAAAGACAGGACUUCUACCAUAUUGUAUAUCUGUUGGCCCGCCUUGGGGCCCCAGUAGGAAUAAGCACCAAUGACAAAGUUAUAGGAGAUGUAACCUGAAAUAAUAUAGGGACAGGAAACUUCAGAAUCAUAAGUAGAUGUACAAAAUGUGUGGAACAGACAAGACAUUGAGAGGACAAUCUGACCUAAGACAAUGAUGAAAAAAGGCAUCUCUUGUAGUUCUUUCAUAUCUUUGCCGAAACGACCAAUUUCAGUCAUGAGACUCUGGCCAAACGUGGAGCUGCAGGAUCAAAACAGAGAUGUGUUUAGAUAGAUCAUUAUAAGGUCCAGAAAAGUCUAGUCUUAAAUUAUACUUGGUCACUGCUCUGAAUUUUAAAUAGAAGGAAAUUCAAAAUAAGCUAACAUCCUUAGCAAAACACCUGCCUUACUACUUAAAUUACUUGUCUUAUGAAUUGUUUGAGAUGCUUAUGAAUGCCAAGCUAGUCUUAAAUUAUUUAUCUUACGAACUAUUUGAGAUGGUUAUAAAAGCCAAGCUAGUUCAAUUCAUCAUAAAAUUAGAUCUGCAGCUCAGAAUUGUUUGUUUUACAAAGAUGAACAGAAGCACAAGAAGAUCAGAAUCCAGAAGAAUUUCAGCAUAUAAAGAACAACUUGCUCCAAUGGGGACUAUUCUUCUAUGUUCUACCAAAAAGCAAAAUUGCAACAAAAAAACUGUUAUUGUCCAAUGGGAUUAUAAAAAUUGACACAAGGCACACACUUAUCUGAUCUUGAACCUCAGGAUUAAGCAUCUGGCUGUAUUCUUUUGUUCUGUUCUGAGCAAAUCCUAGUAAACAAAAUCCCCAGCCCCCAAAGAGGCACAAAAAGCGAAAAACAUCAGGUACCACAGGAUGACAAUUACAAAAUGCUGUAUAGUGGAGCUGUUUGCUUAGUUAUAACAAUAACUGUAAGAAAAGAAAGGCAUACCUUUCAGCCAUUGCCUUGCCAUGUGAUCCUCCUCCUUCCCUUCACCUCCGUAUUAUUAUUAGCAGCAGCAGCAGCAGCGCGUAGCAAUUAAGAGCACCACCAGCCACCAAGCAGCAGCAGGCUCCCGCACCAGUUGCAGCUUGCCACCUUCCUCUUUGCUUCUUCUGCACCAAUCAACGACGAGGAGGGGAU